rnacentral:lncRNA from 1 species
AUGGCCCACUCCACAGCGGUUCUGCAACCGCUGCCUCCUGCCGCGCCCCAGAGAGAUGCCGGCGGCCCGCAGCGCUCUCCGGCUCGCUCGGGSAGCCGCCGGGAUUUCCUGCCUGCUCACGCCGUGCCCGAGCGCGGGGCGAGGCCCGGCCGCGCCGCUCGCAACCCCGAGCCCGGGCCUGCCCGGGCGAGCCGGACGCCGACCGCAGCCCCCUGCGGAGCAGCCCCGCCAGGGCACCCCCCUCCCCCGGGGGCACGACGCGCGGGGACCCCCGGCCCGGCCCUGCCCGCUCCCCCGGCCCGGCGCCGGCGCUCACCCGCCGCAGCCCGCUCCAACGUGGCAGCCGCGACCCCGCCUCGCGGGCGCCUUCCGGCCCCGCCCCUUCCGGCGGGGGCGCCUCAACCGUCACCAACGGUCACCAACGGUCGCCGCCCGCGAGACGGCGGCGCGCCGCAGCCCCCCCCCGCCCCGACUCACCCGGGCCCGGGGGAAGGGGUCGCGCGGGGGAGGGGUCGGGGGAAGCAGGGCCGGCCGCCGCCCGUCCUCAGCAGCUCAAACGCAGUAAUCACAGCGCGUCAGGAUGUGAACAGCAGCGAGAGGCUCAUCAUCGGGCGGGCGGCGGCUCGACACCCCCGCCGCGCUCUCAGGUGCCCCCACGUCGGCGCAACGGGGAGGGGGACGUUUUGGAGGACGGGGCGCCCCCUCCCAAGGGAGAGGGAGCUCGUCAGAGCGGGUGCCUGUGGAGAAGUGCUUUCGAAGGGCGCCAGCUACUCGAAGCACCACCAGCCGCUGCGGGGCUCCCUUUCGGCAGCUCAGGAAGCGCCCGCGCAACGGCGAGGCCGCCUCGCCUCUCCUAACGGCGUGCAAAAACGCAGAGAAGCGGCAGCAACUACAACAUCUCUUCUGCAGCCCAGUCGCUACUCCCAGAGCCCCGCCAUCGUCGUUACGCCUUCGCUCCACGAACCAGCAGCCCAGGGUGGAGGCGGCUCAGCCUGUCGCUGGGAGCGCUUGCACACGCUGCCCCCAACCCACCUCGCACGGCAGCCGCGCUUUGGGCCUCGCCCGCGCCUCAGCCGCGUCCCGCCGCCUCAGAGACCCCCCAGCAGGCGCCGGGCGGGCGCCGAGCCCAGGGCGGACGCCCCAGGGCCCCAUGGCGCGGCCGGGCCUCUCGCCGCUCCGAGGCCGCGCGCACGGCGGCGGUAG